rnacentral:tRNA from 1 species
GCUGAAAUAGGCUAAGUGGUGAAACCAUAUGAUUCAUACUCGUAAGUUGAAGGUUCGAUUCCUUCUUUCAGCU